AAAUUACUCCCUCCAUCCGGUAUGAAGUGUCGCAAUUUUGUCUAAAUACGCAUGUAUCUAGAUGUGUUUUAGUGUGUAGGUACAUGCGUAUCUAGAGAAAUUGUGACACUUGAUACCGGACGGAGGGAGUACUUU
rfam:Brachypodium distachyon strain Bd21 chromosome 2, whole genome shotgun sequence.